GAAGGUGUAAAACACCCUUAAUAUCAUCUAUAUUUGCAAGAACAUAUAUGUAUUUUUUAUAUUUAAACAUUCUUAUGCAUCUUGUAUUGUCUGGACCCUGAGUUCUAUCACCAAUACACUAAUAUGCAGGGGAAAAAUGAUGUGUAAUGUUAUGCUUGAAAUAUCUAUGGCUUGAAAUACUUUGUUUUUUUUUUUUUCCUGGAACUUUUUGUUUCUAAAAAUAGGUCAUUCUCAUUAUAAGAGCAAAGGAGUAAGAAUUGAAGAGGGAAAAAGAUAGAUAAAUUUCAGCAUGCGUGGUCCCGCAGAAUCCUCUAAAGUUGGUGCAAAAAGAGGACUAAGAGAGAGGAAUUGUAUUGUGGCAGCAUUAAGGACUUCGGGAAAUGAGGGAAUUACUAUAUCAGAUCGAGAUUCAAACUCUCCCCAUACACAGUUAGGUGGACAAUCUAGAGGUUCUAGCUGCGUUCCAAUCGAUCAUGAUAGUGGAAGCACCUCGGCAAAUGAUGCUUCAAUAACUCCCUCUACUCACAAGGGUCCUCAUAAGGGUAGAGGUCCAUCAAUAUUAGCAAAUGCAGUAGUAAAUGAUAACGAGUCACCACUUCCGAUUGAAUUCAAUGAAAGAGGGCAACCAAUUGGUGAGAAUAGUAAAAAAAAUUCUACUAGCAUUUGAAUAAUAGCACGACAGAAUGUUCCAAUUAGCUCAAAAAAGUGGAAAGAGGCUUCAGCUGAGAAAGAAAGACUCAUAUGGACAUCUAUAAAGCAAAAAUUUGAAGUCCCUGAUUUUCAUAAAAAGGAUGCUUUUAGAAGAAUGGGAAAGAGUUGGGGUGAUUAUAGAACACGCCUUACAACCAACAUAUAUAAGUCAAAUGAAGAUACAGGGGCUAUUGAUUCAUUAAAGCCUGACAGUAUACAAUCAAUCGAUGAGUGGCAACAGUUUGUGAGUAAUCGACUUUCUGAUGACCACAAACGAAAGAGAGAAAAAUCUCAAGAAUUGCGAAAGAAGCAAAAGAUGCCUCACACAACAAGUCAUAAGGGGUAUGCUCGUCUAGAGGAUGAAAUGGUAAGUAGAACUAAUUAUUCCAUCUUUCUUUUCUUCUUUCAUCCCAUGAAUGGAUCUUGUUGUUUGAUUUUGUACAUGUGUCAGACAUAUUUUGUAUCGAUAUUUUGUAUUUAAUCAUGUGCUUUGGAAGCUUAAUUGUGCAUUAUUAGUGGAAAUUUCAGCUCAAAGUAUACAACACAGGAAAUCUUAGCUUCAAUUCUCUACACCAAUAGGGAUACAACUUUCAAACCACAAUGCAGCUUCUCUUGAUGCUCAAAAUAGAUUCCCACAGUCUUGUCUUAGCCUUUUCUGUUUUAGGGGCACUUUACUAAUUCUGUGGCUGGUCCUUAUUGAAACUAGCUUCCACAGCUUACAAUCAUCAUAUAACACAUGCUUUAAUUACCACAACUCAGUUUUUAACAAGUUAGUAAUAUGUCACAACCCAAACCAAGCUUUACACUUAUUUUCUACAGCAGUGAUGUUCUUAGGGACAGAAUUGUAAAUUUGCUGUGGUACAUCUCAAUUCUCGAUUCUCCUAUUCAUAUAAUAUCAAACUAGAGGUGCUCAAAUGAAAAUUAUGUCAACUACACUCAAGUAUGACAGUCACAGCACUCACAGCAGGCCAUUAAAUUUAAACAAAACCUAAUUUGUUAAGUUUAUUAGGCCUGAAACUAUAAAGGUUAUUUUUCUGAUAUGUAGCUUAGAUUGUACAGCUCUGUAUCAUCAUUAUAAGCAUGAUCAAGCAACAAUAAUGCAUGUAACAUAAAGAUGUAUCACUUUUAAGUUCACAUACAGCUGCAAUGCAUCAGAAAUUAAAUAUAGAACAGGUUUGAGAUCUGAGAAUUGAUACCAGCUCUAGAGUUGUUGUUUUUGUGGCUUCCUGCAGAUGUAAAUCACCAACUUAUACUUGCUCAGCCCUUGUCUCAGCUCCAAAAAAGACCCUCAGCACUCAUAUAUGUAUUUGAGACCCUCAUUUUAUACUCUCAGCCCUCUUUGAUUAUCUUUGAGACCCUCAUUUUAUACUGAAUUUAGGGUUGAAUUUCAGCUCAAAUGAUCAUUUAAAAUCUCUGUAAACCUCUCUUAUUCUUUGGUCUUGAGUCCUCUUUAGCACAACCUCUCAAAUGUAGCUCAAAUAGAGCUAAGAACACACAUUUCUGUCCUCUUUAGCACAGCCUCUCUUGUAAUCGCUGCAGCACUCGUGUAAGUAUUUGAAAAAAAAUUUAUUAGCAAAUUUUACACAAAUAUUAUACUAACUUGUACAAUACUAACAUGUUCUAUUAUCUGUACACAAAUAUUGUUCCUGUGUAGAGAAAAAAAAGUGAUGGACCUAACUCUAUAACAAGGGUUGAUGUAUGGAUCGAAGGUUACAUGAGGAAGGGUGGGAAAGCUUUGAACGAUGCGACAGAAGAAGCAGUGGUGUAGUUGUUGCAAAGGCUGAGAUAGCAGCAAUGGAUCCCAAUGCGUUAGAAGAUCAUUUUCCAAUUGGUCCAGAUUGUUGGAAAGUAUGGAUUGAUGAUAUCUUGGUCGGCGACUGUCCUUUGUAUCGAGCAAGCCUAAAUGGAAUUUUUUAUCUUCGUGAUGCUAACACAAGCUCGGUUGUAUAGCCUAAGAAAUAUGUGAAAAUUAUUUAGGAUUGAUUAUUACCAGUUCAUUAGGAGCAGAAGAAUCAAAAUUUCUAUGAUUCCAGUCUACAACAAAGCUACUUCCUUGGAUUUUGCAGCUACUUCCUUGGAUUUUGUACAAUGAGCUGGUUUUUUGACAAGUGCAGACUGAAACUCAAGUGCUAGAAGGUUUAUCAAUUUUUCAACAGAAGUGUUAAGAAAUUGAUGAUUUUCUUGACAAAUUGAUGUAUUUUCUAUUUUGGAACAUUGAUAAAUGAUGAAUUGUAAAAAUGUUUUAACUCUUUUGAUAUAUUUAA